GCAUGGCCAGAAUAGCCCACUGUACUUAUAGUCCAAUUUUGGAUGAUGCUGCUGCAAUGAGACCUGGGACACAGUGCGCAUGAGCGAGUUCACCUCCCACGUGUCCUCCUGGAACAUCGGAAGCAGCUCACGUGGGUUCGGGGGAGAGCUUUCCGGAGGCAGGGUUGGUUGAAGCUGUCACAGAGGAAGAGGUGAAGCAAGUUCCAGGAAGAGUAAAUGACCAAGAGGCCCCACAUGGAACCGUGGGCAAGAAGACUCAGCCUCUGCCCUAGUUUCCAGACCAAACCCAAUGUGUGGGCGGGCAGAACCCCACCUCUUCACCUACUCCUCAGAAGGGGAGCCCCA
rnacentral:lncRNA from 1 species